rnacentral:tRNA from 1 species
GGCGCGAUACCCAAGUGGCCAAGGGGGCGGUCCGCAGGACCGUCAAUCGUGGGUUCGAAUCCCACUCGCGCCU